CUUUGCGUAGCUCAACGGUAGAGUGCCCGCCCCGGUUUUCGUAACCAGGCGGGAGGUACCCGGUUCGAGUCCGGGUCGCAAAUU
rnacentral:tRNA from 1 species